rnacentral:rRNA from 1 species
UACGAAGGGGGCUAGCGUUGCUCGGAAUCACUGGGCGUAAAGCGCACGUAGGCGGAUUGUUAAGUCAGGGGUGAAAUCCUGGAGCUCAACUCCAGAACUGCCUUUGAUACUGGCGAUCUUGAGUCCGGGAGAGGUGAGUGGAACUGCGAGUGUAGAGGUGAAAUUCGUAGAUAUUCGCAAGAACACCAGCGGCGAAGGCGGGUAGCUGGGCCAACACUGACGCUGGAUGCGCGAAAAGCUAGGGUAGCAAACGGGGAUUAAGAAA